UACAUUAACAGUUAAAUGACUGUAUAUUUUAACGGAAAUUGUCCAUACUUAUAUGUGUUACGGGUGUUUUCCGUUUAUUUACAUUUUCGAAUUGCAUUUUGGGACCGUGACCGAGGCUCCGACAACUUUUGAUGGUCAUGGACGCAUAAGCACAGCCAACACAACAUUUUUUCCCAAGUUUUCAACUGAAUUAUACCAGCAGAAAUUUUUGGAUGCCCUGAUGACACAUACGGAACCCAUACAUUCCUGAUUCCAUUCAAAUCUGUUUGGGACUUGCCUACUUCCACUAUAUUUCAUUGUGAUAUUUAUGUAUCAAAUAUAUACAUUUAUGCAUUUGGCAGAUGCAGCGACUUACAUUGCUUUAUCCUAUUCAUUUUACAUAGGUAAUUGCAAUCCCCUGGGAUCGAACCAACAACCUUGUGUUGUUAAAGCAGUGAUCUUACCACUGAGCUACUGGAAAGCUGUUGAUGAAGUUUCAGUAAACAAAAACAGUGGCUGUUCCUGAUUACUAUCAGCUACAUGUUCAGCCUCUUUUAUGUGCUGAACAUCAUGUAUCCAAAGUGAGCGGCCCUGACUCUGGAAUUUAUCCAAAGGAGCCUAUUGAGUAUUAAUCCACAACGUGGGUCCAAAGCUGAGAAGAAGGGAGCCAAGCACUACAACAUUGGUCCUAAUGUUACAUGACUUUCAGAAUCCUUGGAGGCUUUAAAGGUUAUUAUGCACACUUCUUUCAUCAUACUGCUUCUGACUUGCCACCUACAGUGUUCCAUGUGCUGUUCCCCUGGUUGGGCCUGGGUUCCCCUGAGGUUUUUUUUCUCGAUGGGAGUUUUGGGUUCCUCACCACCGUUUGCAUAUUGUUUUGCACUAUCUGCCUGGCCGGGGGGGCUGCUUUAGAAUUCAUACUUGUAUUAAAUGUGUCUCAUGUACAGCUGCUUUGUAACA